rnacentral:rRNA from 1 species
GACGAACGCUGGCGGCGUGCUUAACACAUGCAAGUCGAACGGAAACACCCUGCUUGUGUGGGCUGCUCGGGGGGCGAAGGGGGGAGGAACACGUGUGUAUCGGGCCCUUGACUUUGGUGUAAGUUCAGGAAACUGGGGCUAAUACCGGAUAGGAGCUCCUGCUGCGGUGUGGGGAUGGGAAAGUUUCGGCUGUUGGGGAUGGACUAGCGGCUGAUCAGCUAGUUGGUGGGGGAGUGGCUUGCCAAGGCUUGGACGGGUCGCCGGCACGAGAGGGUGACCGGGCACCUUGGGCCUGAGAUACGGCGCAGACGGCAACGGGAGGCAGUAGUGGGAAAUCUUGCCCAAUGGGACGAAGUCUGAUGCAGCAACGCCGCGUGCGGGAUGACGGCCUUCGGGGUGAAAAACGCUUUAGCCUGAGACGAAGCGUUAGUGACGGUACUGGGUAAAGAAGCACCGGCUAACUACGUG